CGGCACCUCAAGUGGUCAGGAUGAUUAUUGGGCCUAAAGCAUCCGUAGCCUGCUUUGUUAGUUUUCGGUUAAAUCCAUACGCUCAACGUAUGGGCUGCCGGGAAUACUGCAAAGCUAGGGAGUGGGAGAGGUAGACGGUACUCGGUAGGAAGGGGUAAAAUCCUUUGAUCUAUUGAUGACCACCUGUGGCGAAGGCGGUCUACCAGAACACGUCCGACGGUGAGGGAUGAAAGCUGGGGGAGCAAACCGGAUUAGAUACCCGCGUAGUCC
rnacentral:rRNA from 1 species